AUACGUAGGGGGCGAGCGUUGUCCGGAAUUACUGGGCGUAAAGGGUGCGUAGGCGGCAGCUUAAGUUACAUGUGAAAUACCCGGGCUUAACUUGGGGGGUGCAUGUAAUACUGGGCAGCUAGAGUACAGGAGAGGGAAGCGGAAUUCCUAGUGUAGCGGUGAAAUGCGUAGAUAUUAGGAGGAACACCAGUGGCGAAGGCGGCUUUCUGGACUGACACUGACGCUGAGGCACGAAAGCGUGGGGAGCAAACAGGAUUAGAUACCCUGGUAGUCCACGCUGUAAACGAUGAAUACUAGGUGUAGGGGGUAUAGACUCCCCCUGUGCCGGAGCGAACGCAAUAAGUAUUCCGCCUGGGGAGUACGGCCGCAAGGUUGAA
rnacentral:rRNA from 1 species